UUUAUCUGUGUGUUUCUAUGUGUGUGUCUGUCAGUGUCCCUGUGUGUGUACCUGUGUGUGUGUGUGUGUGUGUGUGUCUCUGUCUGUGUAUACAUCUGUAUCUGUGUGUGGGUCUAUCUGUGUGUGUGUGUGUGUGUGUGUGUGUGUGUGGUGUGGGUGUGGGUGUGUGUGGGUGUGUGUGAGGUGUAGCAGAACCGGUUCUCUGGCUCAUGUGUGAGGGCGGACGGCACUGAGCAAACACUCCAACACAGCGCUUUGUUCCUCUGGUCUGUCCGUCUGCCCUUCUGCCCUACUGUCUCCACCAUUGUUCACCUCAGGCCUCCAUUGGCGGCCAUCUUGGGCCUGGAUGGGUGGAGGAACUGAAUGCUGGUGUUUCCAGGAUGAUGUUUCCAUGCUGAUGUUCCAGGAUGGUGUUUCCAGGAUGGUGUUUCCAGGAAGAUGUUUCCAUGCUGAUGUUCCAGGAUGGUGUUUCCAGGAUGGUGUUUCCAUGCUGAUUUUCCAGGAUGGUGUUUCAAGGAUGGUAUUUCUAUGCUGAUGUUUCAGGAUGGUGUUUCCAUGACGAUGUUUCAAGGAUGGUAUUUCCAGGAUGAUGUUUUCAUGCUGAUGUUCCAGGAUGGUGUUUCCAGGAUGGAGUUUUCAUGCUGAUUUUCCAGGAUGGUGUUUCAAGGAUGGUGUUUCUAUGCUGAUGUUCCAGGAUGGUGAUUCCAUGACAAUGUUUCCAGGAUGCUGUUUCCAGGAUGAUGUUUCCAUCUGUUUCCAUGACGAUGUUUCCAUGAUGGUGUUUCUGGUGCUUCCAUGACGAUGUUUCCAGGAUGUUGUUUCUAUGAUGGUGUUUCCAUGACGAUGUUUCUAGGAUGGUGUUACCUUGAAUUCAAUGUAUCUUUUUAAUUCUAGAACACUGGAAAACAUGUUGCCUGGUGCACGGAGCCAACUUAGGUCGAGCUAGCCUGGAGCCUGGGGCUGACCUGGGGCCUAGAGCCUUGGGCCUGGAGCAUGGAGGAGGAGGGUGGAGGAGGGAGGAGGAGGAGGAGAGAGGGGAGGAGGGGGAG
ensembl:lncRNA